rnacentral:rRNA from 1 species
GAUGAACGCUGGCGGCGUGCUUAACACAUGCAAGUCGAACGGAGUUUACAUGAAACCUAGUGAUUGUAAACUUAGUGGCGGACGGGUGAGUAACGCGUGGGUAACCUGCCUUGUACUGGGGGACAACAGUUGGAAACGACUGCUAAUACCGCAUAAGCGCACAGCUUCGCAUGAAGCAGUGUGAAAAACUGAGGUGGUACAAGAUGGACCCGCGUCUGAUUAGCUAGUUGGUGAGGUAACGGCUCACCAAGGCGACGAUCAGUAGCCGGCCUGAGAGGGUGACCGGCCACAUUGGGACUGAGACACGGCCCAGACUCCUACGGGAGGCAGCAGUGGGAAUAUUGCACAAUGGAGGAAACUCUGAUGCAGCGACGCCGCGUGAGCGAAGAAGAUUUCGGUAUGUAAAGCUACUGUCAGCAGGGAAGAUAAUGACGGUACCUGACCAAGAAGCCCCCGGCUAACCUAACGUGCCAGCAGCCGCGG